AGUGUCUAAGAAAGCGAGCCUGCCAAGGUCCACAUAUUCCCGGGCCCUCUCAUACCUCACAGUCGUUGAUUAAGCAGACUCCGGGCCUCCAGCUUUGUGGCUUCGUUUUCCGACUCAGAUAAAUGACGGUAGCGGCCCUCCCACAGUGUAAACGGCGGCGUAUUGAUCAGCUUCUGAGUCUUCAGACGAGCUAACCUUGCUUGCAGAAUAACUCUGUACCUGAAGCGGGAGAAAAAUGGCCUAGUUGUCAACACUCGCCCAUCUGCAAAGGUUACUUUUUGCACAGACUUGGGAAUUAAAUUGCCAAGACAUCAGUCAUGAGCAGGAGUUGGGCUUGUUCCUGCAUUUUCUUCCAUCUCCUCUAACCUUCCGAUUUCAUAUAUUGUGUCUCUGUCAGGAAGGCCAGAUCAAUAAGCAGGAGAGGGGAGAAAAAAAAAAGGCAAGAACUCUUGGAAUCCCUAGCCGAACCACCCACUGCUUCUCUACUGCCCCUUAAUCGUCCAUUAGCGUUAUUGCUGUGUUCUUCUUUGAAUCUGAGAGAUGAGCCUAUGAUGGUCCAAAGGCAGGAAAAGCCACAAUCAAAUCAAACACUUGGAAAGAGAAUUAAUAGUAACGCCAAAGGAAAACCACUUUAGUGUGGGCAGAACAAAGAAGGCUGAACUCUUUGAAAGGCAGUUGUGAAAAAGAAUUUGAGAGCUUUUCCCCUUAUCAGGAUCGAGAAUCACACUUAAGCACAGCCCAUCUGAUUUGCAUAGCCAUAUGAAUGGAUCCACUUCUACAAAGAGACAGUCGUUGAUGGACCAAUGUGACCUGUGGUGAGCAAAUGUAUACAGUUGGCUUGUAUUGACAAUUUAGUCCUUGGCUUCAUGUUUUAACUCCCUUCAAUAGGGGCUUCUAGCACAAUUAAAGUUGAUAAUCCCAACACGACACAUGGAAAUUGAAAAGAAGCACAAGGAGAGCUUGUCAUUUGGCCAAAUUAAAUAAUUCUACCUUGAUGUACUGUCACCUCCUAAUGAACAGAGUAGUCAUCAGUUAAGUUAAAAUUACUGUUUGAGGAGAGUGAACAAGGCAACAUGGGCCAAGUCCAUUAAUGUCAUCAUUCUGAAUAUAUUCCACUGGUUACUUCUACCUUGCCUCUUAAGAACACUACCAUUAUAACAGGAAAGGAGAUAGGAAAACAAAGUAAUGAAUAUCAUAUGGUGGUA
rnacentral:lncRNA from 1 species